CCGCUUCAGAUGCCAAUUGCAGGUCCCAGGAUGUGACCUGUGCUUCUGACCUACUGGCUAUAAAUCAAGGUUGCCAUGACCCCUCAAGUUUGAGUAUUUUGCUAGAGUGGUUCACAGAACUCUGAGAAACACUUUAUUUAUGUUUACCCAUUUAUUAUAAAGGAUAUUGACAAGGAUACAGAUUAACAGCCAGAAGGAAGAGAUGCAUAGGGCAAGAUAUGGGGGAGGGGUGCAGAGCUUCCAUGCCGUCUCUGGCUGCACCACCCUCCAGGAACCUUUACGUGUUCAAUAAUCCAGGAGCCCUCCAAACCCCUUAGUUUAGCAGUUUAGUUUAGUUUAGUAGUUUAGUUUUAGUUUAGUUUAGUUUAGUUUAGUUUAGUAGUUUAGUUUUAGUUUAGUUUAGUUUAGUUUAGUUUAUCCCAGUGUAGGGGUGGGUUGCCCCUACACACCUGUGGGUGUUUCUCAAAGAGGGGGAUGUGUCAGGGUCACAAGACAAUUGUGGGGAGAGGGUCAGCAGACAAACA
rnacentral:lncRNA from 1 species